rnacentral:rRNA from 1 species
CCUACGGGAGGCAGCAGUGGGGAAUAUUGGGCAAUGGGCGCAAGCCUGACCCAGCAACGCCGCGUGAAGGAAGAAGGCUUUCGGGUUGUAAACUUCUUUUAAGGGGGAAGAGCAGAAGACGGUACCCCUUGAAUAAGCCACGGCUAACUACGUGCCAGCAGCCGCGGUAAUACGUAGGUGGCAAGCGUUGUCCGGAUUUACUGGGUGUAAAGGGCGUGCAGCCGGAGAGCAAAGUCAGAUGUGAAAUCCACGGGCUCAACCCGUGAACUGCAUUUGAAACUGUUUCCCUUGAGUGUCGGAGAGGUAAUCGGAAUUCCUUGUGUAGCGGUGAAAUGCGUAGAUAUAAGGAAGAACACCAGUGGCGAAGGCGGAUUACUGGACGAUAACUGACGGUGAGGCGCGAAAGCGUGGGGAGCAAACAGGAUUAUACCCGUGUAGUC